rnacentral:tRNA from 1 species
GGUUUCUUGGCAUAGUGGCGGUGCAGCGGGCCUUUAACACGUAGAGGGGAGUUCGAUUCUCUCAGGACCCACCA